rnacentral:tRNA from 1 species
GGCCCCGUGAGGCAACGGCAACUUGCCGGCUUCUCAGGCCGGUUAUCUCGGUUCGAAUCCGGGCGGGGCUACCA